GACGAACGCUGGCGGCGUGCUUAACACAUGCAAGUCGAACGGAAAGGCCCUGCUUGCAGGGUACUCGAGUGGCGAACGGGUGAGUAACACGUGGGUGAUCUGCCCUGCACUUCGGGAUAAGCCUGGGAAACUGGGUCUAAUACCGGAUAGGAGCCAUUUUUAGUGUGAUGGUUGGAAAGUUUUUUCGGUGUAGGAUGAGCUCGCGGCCUAUCAGCUUGUUGGUGGGGUAAUGGCCUACCAAGGCGGCGACGGGUAGCCGGCCUGAGAGGGUGGACGGCCACAGUGGGACUGAGAUACGGCCCAGACUCCUACGGGAGGCAGCAGUGGGGAAUAUUGCACAAUGAGCGCAAGCCUGAUGCAGCGACGCCGCGUGGGGGAUGACGGCCUUCGGGUUGUAAACUCCUUUCGCUAGGGACGAAGCUUUUUGUGACGGUACCUAGAUAAGAAGCACCGGCUAACUACGUG
rnacentral:rRNA from 1 species